GACGAGCGCUGGCGGCGUGCCUAACACAUGCAAGUCGAGCGAAUGAAGUUCCUUCGGGAAUGGAUUUAGCGGCGGACGGGUGAGUAACACGUGGGCAACCUGCCUCAUAGAGGGGAAUAGCCUUCCGAAAGGGAGAUUAAUACCGCAUAAGAUUGUAGUAUCGCAUGAUACAGCAAUUAAAGGAGCAAUCCGCUAUGAGAUGGGCCCGCGGCGCAUUAGCUAGUUGGUGUGGUAACGGCUCACCAAGGCGACGAUGCGUAGCCGACCUGAGAGGGUGAUCGGCCACAUUGGGACUGAGACACGGCCCAGACUCCUACGGGAGGCAGCAGUGGGGAAUAUUGCACAAUGGGGGAAACCCUGAUGCAGCAACGCCGCGUGAGUGAUGACGGCCUUCGGGUUGUAAAGCUCUGUCUUCAGGGACGAUAAUGACGGUACCUGAGGAGGAAGCCAUGGCUAACUACGUG
rnacentral:rRNA from 1 species